ACCAAACCAGUCUCAGAAAAACGAUGAUCUCAAAUCCGUUCACCGUUGGAUCGUCGUGAAAUUUGAGUAUCAUGUUCGCAACACAAUUCCGAGCAUUCUCACCGUUGGGAAUUUCGAUAUCAUGUCUGAACUGAGAGAAAAACCCUUCGCAUUGUAGCCUUUUUCUUUCCCGCAGAAACCCAGAGCUGUCUUGGUAAAACUAUGAUCCCGAUUUCGUUAACCGUUGGAUUAUUGUGAAAUUUGGAUAUUUUGUUCGAAAUUCAAUUCCGCACGCUUCCACCGUUGGGAUUUGCGAGAUAAUAUUCGUGGAGGGAGAAAAAGGAAUCGUAUGAAGACAGUAC
rnacentral:lncRNA from 1 species